UUAAGCGAUUAAGCGUACACGGUGGAUGCCCUGGCAGUCAGAGGCGAUGAAGGACGUGCUAAUCUGCGAUAAGCGUCGGUGAGGUGAUAUGAACCGUUAUAACCGGCGAUUUCCGAAUGGGGAAACCCAGUGUGUUUCGACACACUAUCAUUAACUGAAUCCAUAGGUUAAUGAGGCGAACCGGGGGAACUGAAACAUCUAAGUACCCCGAGGAAAAGAAAUCAACCGAGAUUCCCCCAGUAGCGGCGAGCGAACGGGGAGGAGCCCAGAGCCUGAAUCAGUGUGUGUGUUAGUGGAAGCGUCUGGAAAGGCGUGCGAUACAGGGUGACAGCCCCGUACACAAAAAUGCACAUAUUGUGAGCUCGAUGAGUAGGGCGGGACACGUGGUAUCCUGUCUGAAUAUGGGGGGACCAUCCUCCAAGGCUAAAUACUCCUGACUGACCGAUAGUGAACCAGUACCGUGAGGGAAAGGCGAAAAGAACCCCGGCGAGGGGAGUGAAAAAGAACCUGAAACCGUGUACGUACAAGCAGUGGGAGCCUCUUAAUGGGGUGACUGCGUACCUUUUGUAUAAUGGGUCAGCGACUUAUAUUCUGUAGCAAGGUUAACCGAAUAGGGGAGCCGAAGGGAAACCGAGUCUUAACUGGGCGUUAAGUUGCAGGGUAUAGACCCGAAACCCGGUGAUCUAGCCAUGGGCAGGUUGAAGGUUGGGUAACACUAACUGGAGGACCGAACCGACUAAUGUUGAAAAAUUAGCGGAUGACUUGUGGCUGGGGGUGAAAGGCCAAUCAAACCGGGAGAUAGCUGGUUCUCCCCGAAAGCUAUUUAGGUAGCGCCUCGUGAAUUCAUCUCCGGGGGUAGAGCACUGUUUCGGCAAGGGGGUCAUCCCGACUUACCAACCCGAUGCAAACUGCGAAUACCGGAGAAUGUUAUCACGGGAGACACACGGCGGGUGCUAACGUCCGUCGUGAAGAGGGAAACAACCCAGACCGCCAGCUAAGGUCCCAAAGUCAUGGUUAAGUGGGAAACGAUGUGGGAAGGCCCAGACAGCCAGGAUGUUGGCUUAGAAGCAGCCAUCAUUUAAAGAAAGCGUAAUAGCUCACUGGUCGAGUCGGCCUGCGCGGAAGAUGUAACGGGGCUAAACCAUGCACCGAAGCUGCGGCAGCGACACUAUGUGUUGUUGGGUAGGGGAGCGUUCUGUAAGCCUGUGAAGGUGGCCUGUGAGGGUUGCUGGAGGUAUCAGAAGUGCGAAUGCUGACAUAAGUAACGAUAAAGCGGGUGAAAAGCCCGCUCGCCGGAAGACCAAGGGUUCCUGUCCAACGUUAAUCGGGGCAGGGUGAGUCGACCCCUAAGGCGAGGCCGAAAGGCGUAGUCGAUGGGAAACAGGUUAAUAUUCCUGUACUUGGUGUUACUGCGAAGGGGGGACGGAGAAGGCUAUGUUGGCCGGGCGACGGUUGUCCCGGUUUAAGCGUGUAGGCUGGUUUUCCAGGCAAAUCCGGAAAACCAAGGCUGAGGCGUGAUGACGAGGCACUACGGUGCUGAAGUGACAAAUGCCCUGCUUCCAGGAAAAGCCUCUAAGCAUCAGGUAACAUCAAAUCGUACCCCAAACCGACACAGGUGGUCAGGUAGAGAAUACCAAGGCGCUUGAGAGAACUCGGGUGAAGGAACUAGGCAAAAUGGUGCCGUAACUUCGGGAGAAGGCACGCUGAUAUGUAGGUGAAGCGACUUGCUCGUGGAGCUGAAAUCAGUCGAAGAUACCAGCUGGCUGCAACUGUUUAUUAAAAACACAGCACUGUGCAAACACGAAAGUGGACGUAUACGGUGUGACGCCUGCCCGGUGCCGGAAGGUUAAUUGAUGGGGUUAGCGGCAACGCGAAGCUCUUGAUCGAAGCCCCGGUAAACGGCGGCCGUAACUAUAACGGUCCUAAGGUAGCGAAAUUCCUUGUCGGGUAAGUUCCGACCUGCACGAAUGGCGUAAUGAUGGCCAGGCUGUCUCCACCCGAGACUCAGUGAAAUUGAACUCGCUGUGAAGAUGCAGUGUACCCGCGGCAAGACGGAAAGACCCCGUGAACCUUUACUAUAGCUUGACACUGAACAUUGAGCCUUGAUGUGUAGGAUAGGUGGGAGGCUUUGAAGUGUGGACGCCAGUCUGCAUGGAGCCGACCUUGAAAUACCACCCUUUAAUGUUUGAUGUUCUAACGUUGGCCCGUAAUCCGGGUUGCGGACAGUGUCUGGUGGGUAGUUUGACUGGGGCGGUCUCCUCCUAAAGAGUAACGGAGGAGCACGAAGGUUGGCUAAUCCUGGUCGGACAUCAGGAGGUUAGUGCAAUGGCAUAAGCCAGCUUGACUGCGAGCGUGACGGCGCGAGCAGGUGCGAAAGCAGGUCAUAGUGAUCCGGUGGUUCUGAAUGGAAGGGCCAUCGCUCAACGGAUAAAAGGUACUCCGGGGAUAACAGGCUGAUACCGCCCAAGAGUUCAUAUCGACGGCGGUGUUUGGCACCUCGAUGUCGGCUCAUCACAUCCUGGGGCUGAAGUAGGUCCCAAGGGUAUGGCUGUUCGCCAUUUAAAGUGGUACGCGAGCUGGGUUUAGAACGUCGUGAGACAGUUCGGUCCCUAUCUGCCGUGGGCGCUGGAGAACUGAGGGGGGCUGCUCCUAGUACGAGAGGACCGGAGUGGACGCAUCACUGGUGUUCGGGUUGUCAUGCCAAUGGCACUGCCCGGUAGCUAAAUGCGGAAGAGAUAAGUGCUGAAAGCAUCUAAGCACGAAACUUGCCCCGAGAUGAGUUCUCCCUGACUCCUUGAGAGUCCUGAAGGAACGUUGAAGACGACGACGUUGAUAGGCCGGGUGUGUAAGCGCAGCGAUGCGUUGAGCUAACCGGUACUAAUGAACCGUGAGGCUUAACCUU
rnacentral:rRNA from 1 species